rnacentral:rRNA from 1 species
CACGAGAGGGACAAGUGUUGUUCGUCUUGACUGGGCGUAAAGGGCACGUAGACAAUCAAUCUAACGGGUAAGGUAAAUGCUGUGUAUGAAGUACAUAGAACACCUUAUCACGAACAUUUUUUGAUUAGAGUUAUUACUCGGGAUCAUAUAAAAUUUUUAUUUGGGCUAGAAAUCCUAAAAACAAAAGUGCCGCUAUCGGUGAAAGGCGUUGAUCUG